rnacentral:pre_miRNA from 1 species
CUGGCUCAUUGGUACAUUUCAUAAGUACCUUAUCAAAUGUUCCAAUGGUCGGGCA